UUUGUUUGUUGUUCCUCGGGUGGUCUAAGCCUAACUCGUCUCUCUCUCUCUCUCUCUCUUCUCUUUCCCUCCUUCACACUCUCUUCCUUUUCCUCUUCUUCCCUGAGCCUCUGUGUUCUCUCAUCUUCCCGUCGAACACACACACACACCCAGUCACCGCACACCCUUCGUAGUACUCCGUCAACGGCAUAUCAUCACCAUCUAAACCUCGUCUUUCUCUCCUUUUCUCUCAGUGUAGCUAUGACAGUGGAACCCAAGAACUCUCCGGCGAGUUCUGUUGAUCCUUCUCUGGUUAGGUUUUAGAACAAGAUCAACCCGGUGGAAGGCACACCCAGCUCCGGCAAGGCCGUGAGUGUCGAGGAACUUUCCGAACACCACCGUUUCACGGCAAACAGAAGUUAUAAAAACAUUCCUCUCGUCUUGUGUUUCAUUUUGAUACCUAGAUCAGAGUCUAGGGUGCUCUUCUCCAAUUCGUACCAGGCCUAAAAUAUUGCGAUAUUAUUGAUAUUAUCGCGAUAUUAUCGAUAAUAUCAAUAAUAUCGCGAUAUUUUUACAAUAAUUCAGUGGAUAAGUGUGAAAAUAUCGCUCUCCCACAAAAAUGAUAUUAUAACCGAAAUACGCUGAUAAUAUCGACAUUUCAGACCAUGACCUUAGCCAAAAGGCUAAGUUUCGGUGCAUCGCACCGCACCUAAUCAGCGCCCAUAUGGGCCUUUGUUUUGGGUCCUUUUUUUUUCCAGCUCGUUUGUUGCUGCUGGGCUUGCAGCCCCUUGGCCUGAUCAGCCUGUACUCUUUUUUCCAGCCCAGAUUUUAGGCCUGGGCCGCACGACCGUAAUUACUUAGCCCACCCGUGGGCUUUGGUCCACUGUUUUGGGCCCCAAGUUUUAA